GGAAGAAAAUAUUGGGGGAAAGGAAGAAGGAAGAGGCAUUACAUGAAUGAGAGCAACGUGGGAGAACCUACCACAUACCAACGCUGCUUUGUGGACCAUCUUUUCAGGAGCACUGCUCCGGAAGCUAUCAGCACGUGUUCUGGAGUUCAGACGUCUGAAAUGGCUUUAACUGGGCUAAAAAUCAGGGUGUCGGCAAAGGCUGUGAUCCUUCAGGAAGCUCUAGAGGAGAAUCUGCUUCCUUGCCUUUGCCAGCUUAUCUAGAGGCAGCCUGAAAUCCUUGCCUUGGGACUCCAUCCUCCAUCUUCAAAGCCAGGCAGAUAGCAUCUUCUAUCUCUCUCUCACUCUGACUCUCUUCCCUCCCUCCUUCCCUUAUGAGGACCUUUAUGCUUAUAUUGGACUCACCCAAAUAAGACAAAAUAAUCUCCCCAUUUCAAGCUCCUUAAUUUAAUCACAUUUGCAAAAUCCCUUUUGCUAUGUAGGGUACCAUGUUCACAUAUUCUAGGGCAGAGGAGAUGGAUGUCUUUUGUGAAGACAUUCCUUUCUUUAUCACAGUUGGAGCACGGAAUUGGAAGGCAGGUGGAAAUUGGAGA